AGUCGAGAAUUUUUCACAAUGGGGGAAACCCUGAUGGAGCGACGCCGCGUGGAGGAUGAAGGCCUUCGGGUUGUAAACUCCUGUCAUGCGGGAACAAGCAAGUGAUAGUACCGCAAGAGGAAGAGACGGCUAACUCUGUGCCAGCAGCCGCGGUAAUACAGAGGUCUCAAGCGUUGUUCGGAUUCAUUGGGCGUAAAGGGUGCGUAGGUGGUGACGCAAGUCUGGUGUGAAAUCUCGGAGCUCAACUCCGAAAUUGCACCGGAUACUGCGUGACUCGAGGACUGUAGAGGAGAUCGGAAUUCACGGUGUAGCAGUGAAAUGCGUAGAUAUCGUGAGGAAGACCAGUUGCGAAGGCGGAUCUCUGGGCAGUUCCUGACACUGAGGCACGAAGGCCAGGGGAGCAAA
rnacentral:rRNA from 1 species